CCUACGGGAGGCAGCAGUGAGGAAUAUUGGUCAAUGGGCGAGAGCCUGAACCAGCCAAGUCGCGUGAGGGAAGACGGUCCUACGGAUUGUAAACCUCUUUUGUCAGGGAGCAAGGAGCGCCACGAGUGGUGCGGCGAGAGUACCUGAAGAAAAAGCAUCGGCUAACUCCGUGCCAGCAGCCGCGGUAAUACGGAGGAUGCGAGCGUUAUCCGGAUUUAUUGGGUUUAAAGGGAGCGUAGGUGGAUUGUUAAGUCAGUUGUGAAAGUUUGCGGCUCAACCGUAAAAUUGCAGUUGAAACUGGCAGUCUUGAGUACAGUAGAGGUGGGCGGAAUUCGUGGUGUAGCGGUGAAAUGCUUAGAUAUCACGAAGAACUCCGAUUGCGAAGGCAGCUCACUGGACUGCAACUGACACUGAUGCUCGAAAGUGUGGGUAUCAAACAGGAUUAGAUACCCGGGUAGUC
rnacentral:rRNA from 1 species